UCUGUUUUGAAUUUUGACCCAGAUAAUGGGUGCGACUGUGUCGCGAUUGUGUAUGAAAUUUUAGCCGCCAUUCAGGAAGCCACGUCUCUUUCGAACUGCACUCAGAUUCAAUAGGCUUACAUGAAGAACUACCCGUCAGCAAGGGCAUCAGAUGUCGAGGAAUUGAUUGGAGAAACCAGGCGGAACACGCUAUAAGGAACCAAUUGCUAAGAGGGUACAAGAAGCAGUGCCGGACAUGCUAGGGACCCAGAAGCAACGUUCAGUAGUUUAGAAUAAACAAAGUUAACGA